rnacentral:rRNA from 1 species
AUUGAACGCUGGCGGCAGGCUUAACACAUGCAAGUCGAGCGAGCGGCGGACGGGUGAGUAAUGUCUGGGAAACUGCCUGAUGGAGGGGGAUAACUACUGGAAACGGUAGCUAAUACCGCAUACCAUCAGAUGUGCCCAGAUGGGAUUAGCUAGUAGGUGGGGUAAUGGCUCACCUAGGCGACGAGCCCUAGCUGGUCUGAGAGGAUGACAAGCAACACUGGAACUGAGACACGGUCCAGAGGCCGACGGGAGGCAGCAGUGGGGAAGAUUGCACAAGGGGAGCAAGCCUGAUGAAGCCAUGCCGCGUGUGUGAAGAAGGCCUGCGGGUUGUAAAGCACGUUCAGCGAGGAGGCGUUACUCGCAGAAGAAGCACCGGCUAACUCCGGGCCAGCAGCCGCGGUAAUUC